rnacentral:rRNA from 1 species
UACAGAGGGUGCAAGCGUUAAUCGGAAUUACUGGGCGUAAAGCGUGCGUAGACGGUCAUGUAAGUCGGGUGUGAAAGCCCCGGGCUCAACCUGGGAAUUGCAUUCGAGACUGCAUGGCUAGGAUGCGGAAGAGGGAAGCGGAAUUUCCGGUGUAGCGGUGAAAUGCGUAGAUAUCGGAAGGAACACCAGUGGCGAAAGCGGCUUCCUGGUCCAGCAUCGACGUUUAGGCACGAAAGCGUGGGGAGCAAACAGG